UACAGAGGGGGCAAGCGUUGUUCGGAAUUACUGGGCGUAAAGGGCGCGUAGGCGGCCUUCUAAGUCGAACGUGAAAUCCCCGGGCUCAACCCGGGAACUGCGUCCGAUACUGGAGGGCUUGAAUCCGGGAGAGGGAUGUGGAAUUCCAGGUGUAGCGGUGAAAUGCGUAGAUAUCUGGAGGAACACCGGUGGCGAAGGCGACAUCCUGGACCGGUAUUGACGCUGAGGCGCGAAAGCCAGGGGAGCAAACAGG
rnacentral:rRNA from 1 species